rnacentral:rRNA from 1 species
GACAGAGGUGCCAAGCGUUAGGCGGAAUCACUGGGCUUAAAGCGUGUGUAGGUGGAUUUGUAAGUACCUUGUGAAAUCCCAUGGCUCAACCAUGGAACUGCUCGGUAUACUGCGAAUCUUGAGCCACUUAGGGGCUACCGGAACAAAUGGUGGAGCGGUGAAAUGCGUAGAUAUCAUUUGGAACGCCAAUGGUGAAGACAGGUAGCUGGGAGUGUGCUGACACUGAGACACGAAAGCCAGGGGAGCGAACGGG